rnacentral:rRNA from 1 species
AACGAACGCUGGCGGCAGGCCUAACACAUGCAAGUCGAGCGCCCCGCAAGGGGAGCGGCGGACGGGUGAGUAACGCGUGGGAACGUGCCCUCUUCUACGGAAUAGCCUCGGGAAACUGGGAGUAAUACCGUAUACGCCCUUAGGGGGAAAGAUUUAUCGGAGGAGGAUCGGCCCGCGUUGGAUUAGGUAGUUGGUGGGGUAAUGGUCUACCAAGCCGACGAUCCAUAGCUGGUUUGAGAGGAUGAUCAACCACACUGGGACUGAGACACGGCCCAGACUCCUACGGGAGGCAGCAGUGGGGAAUCUUAGACAAUGGGCGCAAGCCUGAUCUAGCCAUGCCGCGUGAGCGAUGAAGGCCUUAGGGUUGUAAAGCUCUUUCAGGGGGGAAGAUAAUGACUGUACCCCCAGAAGAAGCCCCGGCUAACUCCGUGCCAGCAGCCGUGGUAAAGUAUCGUACG